GAUGAACGCUGGCGGCGUGCUUAACACAUGCAAGUCGAACGAUGAAGCCCAGCUUGCUGGGUGGAUUAGUGGCGAACGGGUGAGUAACACGUGAGUAACCUGCCCUUAACUCUGGGAUAAGCCUGGGAAACUGGGUCUAAUACCGGAUAGGAGCGUCCACCGCAUGGUGGGUGUUGGAAAGAUUUAUCGGUUUUGGAUGGACUCGCGGCCUAUCAGCUUGUUGGUGAGGUAAUGGCUCACCAAGGCGACGACGGGUAGCCGGCCUGAGAGGGUGACCGGCCACACUGGGACUGAGACACGGCCCAGACUCCUACGGGAGGCAGCAGUGGGGAAUAUUGCACAAUGGGCGCAAGCCUGAUGCAGCGACGCCGCGUGAGGGAUGACGGCCUUCGGGUUGUAAACCGCUUUCAGUAGGGAAGAAGCGAAAGUGACGGUACCUGCAGAAGAAGCACCGGCUAACUACGUG
rnacentral:rRNA from 1 species